ACGCCCGAAGCGUGGGCCGCGACUCUCAUGGAUCCGGUUCCGCCCUCCCUUUAGCUGCGGACCCUCCGGGGCUAGAGUCUGAGAUCCCUUUCCCAGAGUGCCCUGCGCCGUAAAGAAGCGGCUCCCGGGGACUGGGGGCAUUUUGUGUUGGCUGGAGCCGGAGUAACAAGAUGGCGGCGUCGGCCGAGUGACAGGCGUCCCUGCGGGCAGGAGCCGGCGGCAGUGGUAGCAGCGGUAUCGUCGCCCUAACUCACCGCACCCCUUUUCCUGCCCGCGACGUCGCCGCAGAAACGAGGCCGCGGCGGCCGCCCAGAAGCAACUGGCUCCGACUUGGUAACGACGAGAACCCCCUCACAAACUGCGGCCCGGCAAAAAGAAACCUGACUGAGCGGGGGUGAUCAGGUUCCCCUUUGCCGAUUCUGGGCCGGUCAGCGUUUUCCAUUUUCUGCCGCCCUCCUGCGCAGCCUUCCUCGGUAGACGAGCCCCAGGGGCCUCAGUCCUCCUCACAGAGGUGUCGGGGCUUGGCCCCAGCCUCCAUCUUCGUCUCUCAGGAUGGCGAGCAGCAGCGGCUCCAAGGCCGAAUUCAUCGUCGGAGGGAAAUACAAACUAGUACGGAAGAUCGGGUCUGGCUCCUUCGGGGACAUUUAUCUGGCGAUCAACAUCACCAACGGCGAGGAAGUGGCAGUGAAGCUAGAAUCUCAGAAGGCCAGGCAUCCCCAGUUGCUGUAUGAGAGCAAGCUCUAUAAGAUUCUUCAAGGUGGUGUUGGCAUCCCUCACAUACGGUGGUAUGGUCAGGAAAAAGACUACAAUGUUCUAGUCAUGGAUCUUCUUGGGCCCAGCCUCGAAGACCUCUUCAAUUUCUGUUCAAGAAGGUUCACAAUGAAAACUGUACUUAUGUUAGCUGACCAGAUGAUCAGUAGAAUCGAAUAUGUGCAUACAAAGAAUUUUAUACACAGAGACAUUAAACCAGAUAACUUCCUAAUGGGUAUUGGGCGUCACUGUAAUAAGUGUUUAGAAUCUCCAGUGGGGAAGAGGAAAAGAAGCAUGACUGUUAGUACUUCUCAGGACCCAUCUUUCUCAGGAUUAAACCAGUUAUUCCUUAUUGAUUUUGGUUUGGCCAAAAAGUACAGAGACAACAGGACAAGGCAACACAUACCAUACAGAGAAGAUAAAAAUCUCACUGGCACUGCCCGAUACGCCAGCAUCAAUGCACAUCUUGGUAUUGAACAGAGUCGCCGAGAUGACAUGGAAUCAUUAGGAUAUGUUUUGAUGUAUUUUAAUAGAACCAGCCUGCCAUGGCAAGGACUGAAGGCUGCAACAAAAAAACAGAAAUAUGAAAAGAUUAGUGAAAAGAAAAUGUCCACUCCUGUUGAAGUUUUAUGUAAGGGAUUUCCUGCAGAAUUCGCCAUGUAUUUAAACUAUUGUCGUGGGCUGCGCUUUGAGGAAGCCCCAGAUUACAUGUACCUGAGGCAGCUAUUCCGCAUUCUUUUCAGGACCCUGAACCACCAAUAUGACUACACAUUUGACUGGACAAUGUUAAAGCAGAAAGCAGCUCAGCAGGCAGCCUCUUCAAGUGGGCAGGGUCAGCAGGCCCAAACCCCCACAGGCAAGCAAACUGACAAAACCAAGAGUAACAUGAAAGGAACGUGGCUGGUCACUCAGCAAGGUAAUCCAAAUCACAGGGGAAGACCAUGAAAUGUCUGGAGAAGACUGAUCUGCUCUGAAUACACUCAAUCCAGAGAAGUGCCAGGGAGCUGCAUCUGCUUGAUGACAUUUUUGUCAGCUCUUUUCAGCAGACAAUAAAGCUGGACAGAAAAGAACUAAAUAACCCAACAGGAAAUGAUGAGUGGGCAGGAAUUAAUUUGUCGUGAUCUGAAGCCCACGUCUCCAAGGCUUGCUGGACCUAUCAGACUUUUCAACUUGGAUGAUAACAACAGUCAGAAGCCCUGAAGAAGAGAGUAUAGUGUUCACUGUGAUACAGUGGUGUAUAAUGCAGACAUGCUGCCCCGUUGGGGAAGGAAUCAACUGUAACAGGAACAAAGGAAGUUAUUCCUUAUUUUCACUAUUACAGUGAAGAUUGGUUUUCGGACUUUGAGAAGCCAGGAGACAUCACCUAAACUACAAAAUAAAAACCAAGAACUAAUGCACACCAGGGAAAAAAGAAUGCUUAGCCUUGAAGAUUGAACAUUGAAUACCUGCUGAACGUUCCUAUUGAGAUUUUUCCUUAAGCAAACUUCAGUAAUGUCUUAAGACAAUUCAGUGGAGAAACACUGAUCCCUGGAUAGCGUAUCCUACCACUGACCAAUCUGAAGAGUUAAAUCUGGAUUUGACUGCUUUAUUCUACCAGGAGUAUUGCUAGGGUAGCCUUUAACCAAUCCGUAAACAAUUGUAAUCAUGAAUUGACCCAGCAAUUCCCCAAAUAUUAGAUUAAAAGAUGAACAGAUAUAAUUCUUAUCUAGAUAUAAUAUUUACUUCUAUUAAAGAUACAAGAGUUUUCUAGUAUUUUGACAAUGUAACAUGUUUACUUUUUAGUUUGUUAGUGACAGCGGUCUCCAUUUUAAAGUUGUUUGGGUAUUUGAUGUAGUAAUAUAAUGUAAUUGCACAAGCAAGCUGUGAUAAAAAACAAUUUUAGUAGUUGUGAAAUUUGUCUUUGUAUCAUAUUUAAGAAUAAUUGCAGGACUUGAAACCAAAUGCUCAUGGUGGGGCGUGAGAGGUAAUGGUCAUUUUUGUUUAGCUAAGCCAUGGUUUUAAUUUGCUUUAAAAUUUUGGAAUUAGGUUAUAGAAUAUGAUCAGAUAUUUAAAUUCAGGCUUUAUAGGACAGCCUUUUCUCUUUAUGUUUACCUUGCUAAUCCUGUUUGAUAAUGUACAUCAAACAGAUAGUAUCUCUUGUGGUGAAGUACAUUUUCAGAAAUUUUCAUUGUCUUUCAUUUUUAGCAUUUUCUGUAUAGACAUAGUAUUUGGCAGGCAUCAAAGGUUUAUUUUGCACCUGCUCUGUUGAUAGGCACUAUGAACAAACAGAAGUACAUAUAGCAUUUGCCCCAUUGUCCUUGGGGGUUAGCACAAAAAAUUUUUCAAAUGAAGAUGACUUUGUUCGUCAGUGAAAAAACUAGUUAGCAAGUGAGAGAAUAUUUACCAAGAAAUUAUAUAUAAAUGAUUGGUAUUGUCUUAGGAAAAACAAGGGCAUAUGUGCAUGAAAAGUAAAUUACAGAAGCAUUUUAUUUAUCCAUAAAGCCUACUGGAGAUAGUCCAACAAAUGCUUGAGUAGCCCAAGAAAAGGAGCAGCUUAUGAUUGACAAAAACAUAGUUUGUGCUAAAAGUAAGACAGAGUGGGCUGGAAUGAGCUAGAAUUAGGUCUGCUGUAAGAGUUGCAAGUGGGUGGACCAAGGGGCAUUGAUGCCUUAAAGCUGGGCUAUAGGUGUGGGAACAGGGUACUGGUGGGAUUUUCAUGUUACUGCUGAGAGGAGUUCUAUUUCCUCUGGUUGCCAUUAGCCAUAGACAAAGCAUGCAGCGAUUAUUACCUGAAGCUACUUUCUUUUAAAACCUGCCUUUAUGUAGAAGCCCUAGGCUCUAAUUGUGGGUGGGGGUAGGGAGUGUUUCUAGAGGGGGAAGGCUUGAGAAGUGUAAAAAAAGCCUCACUUGUUUACAUUCUCAGAUCAGUAACAAAACCUCAUGUUUUUAAUGUAACUGAUGGCAGUGAAGUAUUUUAAAGGUGUGAGGUUUCUGUACUAAAGUCAUCUAUUCGGUUUAUGUUCAGUGGAAUAAUUCAUAAUUAUGCAUUGAAUGCACUUAAUAUAAAAAUUCAUUUGUAACAGAAAUAAUGUAUGGAAAGAUUCUUGAUCAUAGCAUGAUUAAAACUAUGCUUUCUAGUUAAGGCAAAGCAAUCUAUUUUUUGUUCAUUUGACAAAUAUUUGAAUAUAUAAUAAUGUUUAGGUACUAGAAUUACAGAAGUAAACAAACCAGGCCCAUUGGAAUUACCAGUAAUUCUCUAGCUUGAAAACUAUGCUGACGGGGAGGCUUUAAUGUGCUGUAUACCAUUCCCACUUAGUGGCAUCCAUAACAAAAGUUAGGUAAUUUUUUAGGCUUUAAAAAAUUGAGCCAGUGCUUUCCAGAUAGAUGAAAA